rnacentral:rRNA from 1 species
UGGGAAUUUUGGACAAUGGGGGAAACCCUGAUCCAGCCAUCCCGCGUGUGCGAUGAAGGCCUUCGGGUUGUAAAGCACUUUUGGCAGGAAAGAAACGUCGCGGGUUAAUACCCCGCGAAACUGACGGUACCUGCAGAAUAAGCACCGGCUAACUACGUGCCAGCAGCCGCGGUAAUACGUAGGGUGCAAGCGUUAAUCGGAAUUACUGGGCGUAAAGCGUGCGCAGGCGGUUCGGAAAGAAAGAUGUGAAAUCCCAGAGCUUAACUUUGGAACUGCAUUUUUAACUACCGGGCUAGAGUGUGUCAGAGGGAGGUGGAAUUCCGCGUGUAGCAGUGAAAUGCGUAGAUAUGCGGAGGAACACCGAUGGCGAAGGCAGCCUCCUGGGAUAACACUGACGCUCAUGCACGAAAGCGUGGGGAGCAAACAGGAUUAGAUACCCUGGUAGUCCACGCCCUAAACGAUGUCAACUAGCUGUUGGGGCCUUCGGGCCUUGGUAGCGCAGCUAACGCGUGAAGUUGACCGCCUGGGGAGUACGGUCGCAGAUUAAAACUCAAAUGAAUUGACGGGGUCGAUANCU